rnacentral:tRNA from 1 species
GCGGGUAUAGCUCAAUGGCAGAGCACCGGCUUCCCAAGCCGGAAGUGCGGGUUCGAUCCCCGUUACCCGCUCCA